AUAUUGAAGCAAAACAUUUGCGUUUGUUUUUAAAGCAGAAUCAUCCUGAAUUUAUUAUCUGGUCCAGAGAUUGCCUUCUUGUUUGCUUUUUAAAAUUCGGCUAAGGCCUCUUUUCUGGCUUGAGAAACGGCUUGGGUUUUAGGUUAAAGGCAGUUUGGUUUUCGGGGAGGGUGGGGUCAGCCUAGCUCAGGGCGGCCCAGUGGGAUUCUGUUUCCUGCAACAUAUCCACGUCUUGAAAAUAUCUGGUAAAUACCGAAAGCAAAUUUCAACGAGCUGGUAAUUCCUGCGGAAACAGAAUUUCAGACUGUUUACUGAGAAGACACCCAGGGCAGAGGGCAGCUUGGCAGCCAGGCUGGAACCUGCAGAGGCAGAAGCCUUGGAGAGCAUGGGCCUUGUGCUCGGCCCGAGGAUCAGCCGAGGGGUCUUGAGAUGGGAUCUUGACCAUACAACCAUUUUCCCACACAGGUGCCCAGCCUGCAGUUCCAGAGAUGUGUGUGAAGGAGGAUUUAAACGAGUUCACAUUUAUGGGCUCUGAGAAAAAGAACGAACCAGUAUCGCCACAUUUGGCUGCCAAUUGUAAGCUGUCUUUAUGGGAAACCAGACUGGCCUGUACAGCAUUCAUCGAGAACCCCUCCAAAACGAUCACUGAAGAUCUUAUGCUUACUCAAGGCUUUGGCAUUGCAAUGCCCCUAAGACCUUCGACUCUAGACCCUACCACAGACUCCUCCGUUCUCAAAAUAGAAUGAGUCUCCACUAAAAGCCAUCCUCUAAAGUGGUGCUUCCCUGUGCCCACAAAUCCCUUUGGCCAUCGCAGUUACUGUGAGGCAUCCACCAAGCUUUCUUCUCCUGACCUAGCUCCUAUUAUUUGAUGUCUGUUACCCACUAUGAAGCCUUCCUGAAGAUUUCUCAGCUUUGCAGCAUGGAUGGUGGCAAGAAUGCAAAUGUUGUUGCUGUCUACUACUGGUCCCAAAGCUAGCAAUUUGCAGGAUGCCAGUAUGGGGCAGGUUCUAUGAAUGGAAGAUAUUGUGGUUUUAUUUCAAGAAAUUGCCACAGCCAACCCAACCUUCAGCAACCACCAUCCUGAUCAGUCAGCAGCCAUCAACAUCAAGGCAAGACCCUCUACUAGCAAAAAGAUUACCACUCCCUGAAGGCUCAGAUGAUUGUUACUGUUUUUUAGCAAUAAUUUUAAAAUUAAGGUACAUACACUGUUUUUUUAGACAUAAAGCUAUUGCACACUUAAUAGACUACAAUAGAGUGUAAAUGUAACUUUUAUAUGCACUAGGAACCCAAAAAAUUUGUGUGACUUGCUAUAUUGCAAUGACGUGGAACCAAGCCCAUGAUAUCUCCGAGGUAUGCCUGUACUUUUUAUUGUUAUUUUAGAGUGUACCCUUUCUACUUAUUAAAAAAAAUUUAUUGUAAAACAGUAUACUAUGUUAUACCAGCAGCAGCCUCAUACACCUUGUGUUCAAUGUGUCUCUUGGUUGCAUCAUUUUCUCUUGUGCUUGAAUUAACUUCAUGUUGUUUGUUCAUCGUGGCCCCUUAAGCAUACAAAAUCUACUGCUCAUGUUGCCAGUAAGAGGCCACAUAGAGUAAUUGAUCUGGAAAUGAAAUUAAAAGUGAUCAAAGCCAAUGAAAGUGGAAAAUCAGUCAUGGUUAUUGCUCACCAGUCAGGCAUGUCCCAUUCCACCAUAGCUAUGAUCUUGAAGAGCAAGAACAAACUGGCUUUGUCGAAGG
rnacentral:lncRNA from 1 species